CCCACCUAACCCCAUGCCGAACUCAGAAGUGAAACGCCGUAGCGCCGAUGGUAGUGUGGGGUCUCCCCAUGCGAGAGUAGGGAACUGCCAGGC
rnacentral:rRNA from 1 species